UAACACAUGCAAGUCAAACGGAGCUAAUAGAGCUUGCUUUUUAAGCUUAGUGGAGAACGGGUGAGUAACGCGUGAGUAACCUGCCCUAGAGUGGGGGACAACAGUUGGAAACGACUGCUAAUACCGCAUAAGCCCACGGUACCGCAUGGUACUGAGGGAAAAGGAUUUAUUCGCUUUAGGAUGGACUCCCGUCCAAUUAGCUAGGGGGUGAGGUAACGGCCCACCAAGGCGACGAUUGGUAGCCGGACUGAGAGGUUGAACGGCCACAUUGGGACUGAGACACGGCCCAGACUCCUACGGGAGGCAGCAGUGGGGGAUAUUGCACAAUGGGGGAAACCCUGAUGCAGCGACGCCGCGUGGAGGAAGAAGGUUUUCGGAUAGUAAACUCCUGUCUUUAGGGACGAUAAUGACGGUACCUAACAAGAAAGCACCGGCUAACUACGUGCCAGCAGCCGCGGUAAAACGUAGGGUGCAAGCGUUGUCCGGAAUUACUGGGUGUAAAGGGAGCGCAGGCGGGAAGACAAGUUGGAAGUGAAAACCAUGGGCUCAACCCAUGAAUUGCUUUCAAAACUGUUUUUCUUGAGUAGUGCAGAGGUAGAUGGAAUUCCCGGUGUAGCGGUGGAAUGCGUAGAUAUCGGGAGGAACACCAGUGGCGAAGGCGGUAUACUGGGCACCAACUGACGCUGAGGCUCGAAAGCAUGGGUAGCAAACAAGAUUAGAUACCCUGGUAGUCCAUGCCGUAAACGAUGAUUAUUAGGGGUCGGGGAAUCGACCCCCUCAGUGCCGCAGUUAACACAAUAAGUAAUCCCACCUGGGGAGUACGACCGCAAGGUUGAAACUCAAAGGAAACGACGGGGGCCCGCACAAGCAGUGGAGUAUGUGGUUUAAUUCGAAGCAACGCGAAGAACCUUCCCAGGUCUUGACAUCCGAUGCAUAACACAGAGAUGUGUGAAAUCGUUCGGGACAUCGAGACAGGUGGUGCAUGGUUGUCGUCAGCUCGUGUCGUGAGAUGAUGGGUUAAGUCCUGCAACGAGCGCAACCCUUAUUGUCAGUUACUACGUUAAGAGGACUCUGGCGAGACUGCCGUUGACAAAACGGAGGAAGGUGGGGAUGACGUCAAAUCAUCAUGCCCUCUAUGACUUGGGUUACACACGUACUACAAUGGCGUUAAACAAAGAGAAGCAAGACCGCGAGGUGGAGCAAAGCUCAAAAACAACGUCUCAGUUCAGAUUGCAGGCUGCAACUCGCCUGCAUGAAGUCGGAAUUGCUAGUAAUCGCGGAUCAGCAUGCCGCGGUGAAUACGUUCCCGGCCCUUGCAAAAAGCGCCCGUC
rnacentral:rRNA from 1 species